UACUCGAGUGGCUAACGGGUGAGUAACACGUGGGUGAUCUGCCCUGCACUUCGGGAUAAGCCUGGGAAACUGGGUCUAAUACCGGAUAGGACCACAUUUUGGAUGGUGUGGUGGAAAGUUUUUCGGUGUGGGAUGAGCUCGCGGCCUAUCAGCUUGUUGGUGGGGUAAUGGCCUACCAAGGCGUCGACGGGUAGCCGGCCUGAGAGGGUGGACGGCCACAUUGGGACUGAGAUACGGCCCAG
rnacentral:rRNA from 1 species